UACGUAGGGUGCAAGCGUUAAUCGGAAUUACUGGGCGUAAAGCGUGCGCAGGCGGCUUUGCAAGUCAGAUGUGAAAUCCCCGGGCUUAACCUGGGAACUGCAUUUGUGACUGCAUCGCUGGAGUGCGGCAGAGGGGGAUGGAAUUCCGCGUGUAGCAGUGAAAUGCGUAGAUAUGCGGAGGAACACCGAUGGCGAAGGCAAUCCCCUGGGCCUGCACUGACGCUCAUGCACGAAAGCGUGGGGAGCAAACAGG
rnacentral:rRNA from 1 species